GAUGAACGCUGGCGGCGUGCCUAAUACAUGCAAGUCGAGCGAACAGACGAGGAGCUUGCUCCUCUGACGUUAGCGGCGGACGGGUGAGAAACAUGUGGAUACCCCCCUUAAAUGACUGGGAUAAUUUCGGGAAACCGGAGCUAAUACGGGAUAAUAUAUUGAACCGCAUGGUUCAUUAGUAAAAGACGGUUUUUCUGUAUCUAAUAGAUGGUUCCGCGCCGCAUUAGCUAGUUGGUAAGGUAACGGCUUACCAAGGCAACGAUGCGUAGCCGACUUGAGAGGGUGAUCGGCCACACUGGAACUGAGACACGGUCCAGACUCCUACGGGAGGCAGCAGUAGGGAAUCUUCCGCAAUGGGCGAAAGCCUGACGGAGCAACGCCGCGUGAGUGAUGAAGGUCUUCGGAUCGUAAAACUCUGUUAUUAGGGAAGAACAAAUGUGUAAGUAACUAUGCACGUCUUGACGGUACCUAAUCAGAAAGCCACGGCUAACUACGUG
rnacentral:rRNA from 1 species